rnacentral:rRNA from 1 species
UAUGUGAUCGUCUCUCGCAUAUCAAUAAGCGGAGGAAAAGAAACUAACAAGGAUUCCCCUAGUAACGGCGAGUGAAGCGGGAAGAGCUCAAAUUUGAAAUCUUAAAGGGUUUCCCUUUACGAAUUGUAGUUUAAAGAAGUGUUUUCUGUUGAGGUUUUGGUAAAAGUUCUUUGGAAUAGGACAUCAUAGAGGGUGAGAAUCCCGUAUUUGACCUUUACUUUCAACUUUGAGAUACACUUUCAAAGAGUCGGAUUGUUUGGGAAUGCAGUCCAAAAUGGGUGGUAAAUUUCAUCUAAAGCUAAAUAUUGGCGAGAGACCGAUAGCGAACAAGUACCGUGAGGGAAAGAUGAAAAGAACUUUGAAAAGAGAGUUAAACAGUACGUGAAAUUGUCAAAAGGGAAGCGUUUGACACCAGUGUUGUUUUUCUGAAAAUCAAUUAAAGAACUGUUUAUGCUAAGUUGUUUAGACUUUAUCAGCUAAUCUGCUUAGUUUUGAGCUUUUCUUUAAUGCACUUUUCAGUUAACAAGUCAACAUCAAUUUCUUUUGCUGUAAAAAAGCUUGAGGAAGGUGGCUUGAGAUUCGUCUUAAGUGUUUAUAGCCUCUUGCCUAUGCAGUCGGAGAGAUUGAGGUCUGCAGCGUAGAUCCUUCGGGGCUAAAUGCAUUUGUGCUAAGUUAUAGCAUUUUAUAGACAACUUGUUGACUAUGAUUUGUCUUGUAGCUUACUCGCUUAUGUUAUUUUACCUACGCUUAGGAUGUUGAGUAGCGACAUACGCAC